CUCGAUAGUUAUUUUUUAUGAACUAUACCGGUUUUCAAGACCAGAGCCAUCAACCACUCGGCCAUCUCUCC
rnacentral:tRNA from 1 species